UACGUAGGUGGCAAGCGUUGUCCGGAAUUAUUGGGCGUAAAGCGCGCGCAGGCGGUCCUUUAAGUCUGAUGUGAAAGCCCCGGGCUCAACCUGGGAAUGGCAUUGGAAACUGGCGGGCUUGAGUGUGGCAGAGGGGGGUGGAAUUCCGCGUGUAGCAGUGAAAUGCGUAGAGAUGCGGAGGAACACCGAUGGCGAAGGCAGCCCCCUGGGCUGACACUGACGCUCAGGCACGAAAGCGUGGGGAGCAAACAGG
rnacentral:rRNA from 1 species